GACAGGUUUACUUACAGAAACCAUUCAGUCAGGUCUUAGAUUUUGUAGAAUCAAAUCUAAAACUAAAGAAAAUACUCACCCUUUCAGUCCAAAGCAUGAAUAGGUUGAAUACACAUGGCUGAGGUAGUUUUAAGGUAGUGACCAUCAGUACUCCUAGGAGUACAGUGAGAGGCAGAGUCUGUAGUAUUUUUGGAGAAGGCACACAUGGAGUCUAUUACGGUUCUGGCAGCACAGGCAGAAGUAUCAAGGCCAGCUUGUUAACAGCUGCCUCAGGAAGAGCUACACAGCUGUACUGACAGCACUGCAGUGUAGAUACGGAAUGCACACCUGGACUGCACCCAAAAAGCAGCGGGUUGUCCUUUUCCCUUCAAAUAAAGAAUUGUUCCACUUUAAACCUCUUACAGUGGAUCUUUCCACGCCUUUGGUCACAACGAGGUGCAACAGCACUAAAAACAAAGCAGAAAAACAAUGUGGGCCUGAUACUGCUCCCUUCAAGCCUGAUUUUGAUGCAGCUCUGACACUGACUUCAGCUGGGAUACAUCAGUCAAGAAUUAAUGGUUUGGUGAGAGAAAACACUUCAGUCUCUGCAAGCAUUCAAGUGCAAUGGACUCAAUCCUUCCAGAUAACAACAACAAAAAAGUGUGCCUGGAGCUUGAGCAGAGAGUCGGCUGGAGCCUUAAUUGCUGCUCCCCUGCCUGACGUCCAUUGGAGAUGA
rnacentral:lncRNA from 13 species